GGUACCUUCGCCCUUUGGAGCUGCUUCUGCAAUACUGAUUCUUUUUUAAAUUAAUAAUUGGCUGCAUAAAAAAUGAAAUGGGCUACACUUAUACACGCAUUAGCAAGCAAUUUAUGAUCUGCAGAUAGAAGUAGCACUAUGUGGUAUGUAAUGGAAACUUAGCUGCGCAUUGAAAGUUAACAAAUUAAUCACAUUUGGUAGAUAGUAUUUUACGUACAUCACCACCUUCAUGAAUAAAAAUAUUACUCCAAAAGUUGCUUCCAUCAUCACGUUGUUGCCAUUCGUAAAUUUGACUACAGUAAUGUAUUAAUUGUAAAUAUCGUCUCACUAUAUAUCUAUACCCACAUCACAACUUUUUCAAUUAAUGGAGAGUGAACCCAUUUUCAGUAAGCAUGCCUCUUCAAAUUGGAUAACGCAUUUGUGAGUAGAUUUCUUUUUUAUAUAUUUAUAUUUUUUGCAUAUAUAAAAUAGUAAUUUAAUUUAACUAAUGAGUUCCACAUGUAGGUGAAGGUGGAACAAUUAAAUUUGUCCUUUCCUUGUCAUUUUCACCCAAGUAUCCUUCUCUGUCGGCCAAAGAAUUAAUUCUCAUGGCAUUUUACAAGGAAUAAUUCCAUACAUGAUACAUCAUAUGAUGUUCCUAUAAGAAAAUAAAACCAUUAAUUACCUAGGUAGAGGCGGUGCGUUGCUAGGCUUAUACAUCUUGAAUUAAUCCAGUCAAGAAAUUAACACCGUUUUUCAUGUCUACCGUCUGCACAAAUUACUGGUGUUAUUUUAAAGGGAAUCCGACACAAGUGAUGAAGCCUCCCGCCGACACAAUCCAGCCAAUGGCGACGGUGAGCCCAGGCAGCUGUGUGCCCCCAUGCAAAAAGCUAGUCAACGGUGUCGCAGCUGUCUUCUUCACCACUCUAGAAUGGUGCUCUUGCGUUUACACUGGCACCAUUGAUGAUACAGAUGAUGAUACUAAUCACUUGCCAUUGAUUCGCAGCAAUGAACAUCUUCCUCAUCAGCAGCAAAUCAUGGGUCAAGCCGCGCAGAAAAUCAAAAUUCGAGAUUAACUCAUACGAUUAAUUGACGGCAUGCAAAAUGCUAUGUGGUUCCUUAAUUUGGUAAUUGUGCGUGCUUGCAUAUAUGGAAGAUCCAUAUUGUAAAUUGUAUGUUAAAAAUUACAGUUAUGAAAUAGAAUAAUUAAUUAAAAUCGAUAUGUGCUUGUCAAUUAUCAGAAGAUUAGUGGAAAUAGACUGUUUAAUUUUAUUCUCUCUUCCACUCAAUAAAUUUGAGUCGAUCACGAUUCCAUGAAAGGUUUACACAGUCUUGCGCACAACAAUCGUUUAGUACUUGAUUCGGAUAGACAUCGCUGCACGCAUAUGUGCAUAUUUGUCAAAUUAUCAACAGU
rnacentral:lncRNA from 1 species